rnacentral:miRNA from 1 species
UGCUAUAAUCAACUGUGGGAA